UACGAAGGGAGCUAGCGUUGUUCGGAAUUACUGGGCGUAAAGCGCACGUAGGCGGAUCUUUAAGUCAGGGGUGAAAUCCUGGAGCUCAACUCCAGAACUGCCUUUGAUACUGAGGACCUUGAGUUCGGGAGAGGUGAGUGGAACUGCGAGUGUAGAGGUGAAAUUCGUAGAUAUUCGCAAGAACACCAGUGGCGAAGGCGGCUCACUGGCCCGAUACUGACGCCGAGGUGCGAAAGCGUGGGGAGCAAACAGG
rnacentral:rRNA from 1 species